UGGGGAAUUUUGCACAAUGGGGGAAACCCUGAUGCAGCGACGCCGCGUGAUUUAGAAGGCCUUCGGGUUGUAAAAAUCUUUUUUACGGGAUGAAAAUGACAGUACCGUAAGAAUAAGGUCCGGCUAAAUACGUGCCAGCAGCCGCGGUAAUACGUAUGGACCGAGCGUUGUCCGGAAUCAUUGGGCGUAAAGGGUACGUAGGCGGCCUAGUAAGUUAGAAGUGAAAUAAUAUAGCUCAACUAUAUAAAGCUUUUAAAACUGCUAGGCUUGAGAGAUGGAAGAGAAAGUGGAAUUCCUAGUUUAGCGGUGAAAUGCGCAGAUAUUAGGAAGAAUACCGGUGGCGAAGGCGACUUUCUGGUCAUCAUCUGACGCUGAGGUACGAAAGCGUGGGUAGCAAACAGG
rnacentral:rRNA from 1 species